ACGCACGCUGCAGCUCCUGGGACAGCUCCAGGUGGAGGUGGAGAAUUUUGUCCUCCGAGUGGCUGCAGAGUUCUCCUCCAGGAAGGAGCAGCUUGUGUUUCUGAUCAACAACUAUGACAUGAUGCUCGGGGUGCUGAUGGAGCGGGCUGCUGAUGACAGCAAAGAGGUGGAAAGUUUCCAGCAGCUGCUCAAUGCUCGGACACAGCAAUGAGCCCCAGCCCAAGGGCAGAGGGAGGAGCUGCCCCUGGCCCCUGCACCAGGGCACGGAAGUGCUCCGGGUAUCUGGAGCCACUCCAUGCAGGUGCUCUCCAGGUCAUCGUUCAGGGCUAUGUAAUCGCGACCAUUGUAGGCUGUACUGCCAGUACCCGUGGAGGAGGCUCCGGUCGGACCCCACAUCACAGUCAUACAACCACUGGAACACCUCCCAGUACACAGGGCCCUGGAGCUUCAUCCCCGGCGCGCGCGGCUCAGAUCUCGGAUUCUUCAGGUCGUUGUCGAAGCGCACGAACUGCGUGUAGUCCACGUCGCCGGCUUCCAUGUACAGGGGCUUCCCGUGGCCCGGCCGGGACUUGGCAGUGGAGAAAUACGGCAUCGAGUGUGAGUCUGAGGGCUGCGCGCGGUGAAACCCCGACCUCCUACCCGGACCCCGGGCUGGUGAGCGGGUCGGGAAGGGAGCAGGGCGCGGGGCUCGGGACGCGGGUGGAGAAGGGGCGGAGGGUCGGGUGGGCGGCGCGGGGACCCGGCUUCCCCGGUGCAGUCCCCGCCCCGCCCAUGCCCCCAGAGGCCUUUUCCCUCCUGUCCCCGCACUCACCCUUUCGGGUCUGGGUCCAGGCCAGGGAGGUCGCCUGCAGCAGAAGCAGCUUUCGCUGCACUUGCCCCCUCUGGCAAUCAGGGCGGGUCUGAGUUCUGAGAUCUGCCAGGACUUCACAACCAGAGCCCUUGGCCAAGGUGGCUGGUUUCCCAAGAUCUUGCUAUCUAAUGGGGGGUGAGAUCUGAGAUCAAAUCAUUCAUUAGUGUCUUGGAGAAGGAUCUGACCCAGGUUAAGAGCAGAAGUGAAAUUGGGGAGAUGGGGAAUCCAGGGCCCUGGGAUUGCCCACCCCUGACUUAGGCUGGACUAAGACUUUGCUUCGAACACUUAUAAUUGAAAUAAAAUGCUAAGAAGUUUGCCUUAUAAUAGCUUAGUGCAAAUAGAACUUCAGAAUAGGAUAAUUCCUCAUCUUCGGGCACUGUAGCUUUAGCUCAGAGUUCUCUGACUUCCCCAGGAAGAUUGUUGGAGAACUGCACUUCCCAGUUAUCUGCUGCACUGUAGCAAAGCAGCCAAGCUCAGCAUCUGGAGACAGCACAGCACUGAUACUUCCCACAGUGUGUGACAUCAAGAGUCCUUGGUGACCCUGGCUCAGGAGCAUGCCCAGGUCCUACUGAGUUUUCUCAAGGCUUCUCUAGGGCUGGGGUCACAUGAGAUAAGGUUUCCUCAUAUGGCAGCUGGAAAGGACUCAGGUUCCUGCUGGCUGUCCCCAGGAGUUCUCUGUCCCUAUUUACCUAGAUGUCUCUUGAGACUGCUCUUGAAAGAGCAGUUUAUUUACUCAGAGCUAUCAGAGAGAGAGAGAGAGAGAGAGAGAGAGAGAGAGAAUGAUAGAAUAUUACAGAUUGUGUGCAGUAUGUUCAUGAUCCAAUACAAGAACAUGACCAUACUAUCAGUCUCUCUCUGUCAGGAAAAGGGAGAGAGCAGGUCCUGACCACCUGAGAGGAUGGAAUCAAGCGCAGAGCUGCAAAUCUCUGAAUACCCACUCUAACUACAAUGUUACUCCAGCAUCCUGUGAGUCAGAUGGACAUUUAGUGAUCUUCCUUUUGCAAGGUGUUAGUUUAAAAAAAAACAGCUUAAAAUUUGAUACAACAAAAGAAGAUACAAGUUUCUUAGUUUUCACUGAGAGUUCUUUACAAUA
ensembl:lincRNA